CCCAGAAGCGGGGGAUAACACCUGGAAACAGAUGCUAAUACCGCAUAACAACUUGGACCGCAUGGUCCGAGUUUGAAAGAUGGCUUCGGCUAUCACUUUUGGAUGGUCCCGCGGCGUAUUAGCUAGAUGGUGGGGUAACGGCUCACCAUGGCAAUGAUACGUAGCCGACCUGAGAGGGUAAUCGGCCACAUUGGGACUGAGACACGGCCCAAACUCCUACGGGAGGCAGCAGUAGGGAAUCUUCCACAAUGGACGAAAGUCUGAUGGAGCAACGCCGCGUGAGUGAAGAAGGGUUUCGGCUCGUAAAACUCUGUUGUUAAAGAAGAACAUAUCUGAGAGUAACUGUUCAGGUAUUGACGGUAUUUAACCAGAAAGCCACGGCUAACUACGUGCCAGCAGCCGCGGUAAUACGUAGGUGGCAAGCGUUGUCCGGAUUUAUUGGGCGUAAAGCGAGCGCAGGCGGUUUUUUAAGUCUGAUGUGAA
rnacentral:rRNA from 1 species